rnacentral:rRNA from 1 species
GAUGAACGCUGGCGGCGUGCCUAAUACAUGCAAGUCGAGCGAACAGACGAGGAGCUUGCUCCUCUGACGUUAGCGGCGGACGGGCGAGUAACACGUGGAUAACCUACCUAUAAGACUGGGAUAACUUCGGGAAACCGGAGCUAAUACCGGAUAAUAUAUUGAACCGCAUGGAUCAAUAGUGAAAGACGGCUUUGCUGUCACUUAUAGAUGGAUCCGCGCCGCAUUAGCUAGUUGGUAAGGUAACGGCUUACCAAGGCAACGAUGCGUAGCCGACCUGAGAGGGUGAUCGGCCACACUGGAACUGAGACACGGUCCAGACUCCUACGGGAGGCAGCAGUAGGGAAUCUUCCGCAAUGGGCGAAAGCCUGACGGAGCAACGCCGCGUGAGUGAUGAAGGUCUUCGGAUCGUAAAGCUCUGUUAUUAGGGAAGAACAAAUGUGUAAGUAACUAUGCCCGUCUUGACGGUACCUAAUCAGAAAGCCACGGCUAACUACGUG